rnacentral:lncRNA from 1 species
UUUUAUUGUAAUAUAAAUAUAACAUAAGUUGAACAUAAAUAGAAGUUCUGUAGUCUACUUCACAGCGAUAUUUGGGUGUUAACAUUACAGAUACAUCCAUUAAUGUGCACUUCUACAGCAAUGUCAUGGACAUGGUUCUGAACUUUAAAGACAAGAACGUCUCCUUCCUUCAAGCCAUAUUCACUGCAAAAAUCUCUCCAUCAUUUUCCAAACUUCGUUGAAUUCCUAGUAUGUGAAACCAAAACCUUGCACCGGAUGCCCUCCUUAUGACCAAGAAGCACAACCUCUGUAAAGUCAUUGUUCCUGAUUGCAUUCCCAAAAUUGGUUCUCAAAUCCUGCAAAAGAUCCAAUAAUAAGUGAUUGUAUAAUAGUCAUGCAAAACAAACAUUAAAAUAACAUACAUUAAAUACUAACUUUCAAACUUUAUACAUCAUCCAUUCCAAUAACACAUAAAAUUUUAUCUUACAGUAGGUUUUGUUGAAGCCAUUGGACCUGCAGUGAUAACAAUGCCCACAAAUAUAUAACUUAGGUUUCGCUUAAAAAUAAAUACCUCUUUAUUAAAAAGCAGAUUAGAAAAGGUCCAUUCUUGCACUUACCCGAAAAGCAAAUCACCACCCAAACCACUAAAGUGAUGGUCCGAGAACGAGAAUGCUGCGACGACGAUAACGACACGAAAGAGGUUUCGCCUGACACCCACAACGACAAUGAUGGUCCGAGAACGAGAACAACCUUUCACAAUGACAACGCUUGAGAAAACUUGGAGAAGGAGGCCAGCGAAGAGACGUAGGGAGAUGAGAGAACCGUCAGAGAGCACGAAAAUGAAAAAUGAAAGAGAGUGCCAAAACUAAAACCCCACACUAUACAUUCCAUCUUUGCCCCUCACUUAUUCCAUCUUUGCCCCUCAGCAGAUUUAACAAUGUCAUUUUUAAAAAAUUAAAAACCACCCAAUCAGACAAUGACACCUGCCCAAUGUUAAAAGAGUGUCAAAAUUGGGUGUUAAAGUAACAUUUUCCUUUCCCUUUUAGGUCGCAUCAAAACUAGUAAGUAGUUAGCAAUUGAUUCUCUCAUAAAAAAGGUAUUUCUUGAUUCUCAUUCU